ensembl:lncRNA
CUAUCACCUAGACUCGCUCACUCCACUCCUUGCUAUGCCCCAAACCCCAGGCUGACUAGCACCUCAGGGCCUUUGCACAUGUUUCCUCUCCCUGAAACACUCUUCCUCUAGAUCCACAUCACUUGCUUCCUCAACCCCUUCAGCUUUGCUCAAAGAUCACCUUUCCAGCAAGACCGUCCCUGGCCACCCUGUUUUGAUGGCAUGUCCCCCUCCUGACACUCUCAGCCCUCCUUCCUGCCUCAGUUUGUGUCUGUAGCACUGACCAUCAUUGCCAUUACCACAGCUCUUACCCACUUACUUUUCUUAGUGUUCAUGUCCCCCCACUAGAAUAUGAGUCCCACGAGGGCAAGAAAUGGAGUCUGUUUUGUUCACUGCUAUAUCCAGAGCCCAGCAUACUCUCUGCAUAUGGAAGGUCCUCAAUAAGCAUUUAUGGGAAGGAAAGGAGGGAGGAGGGAAGAAGGGAGUCGGGGAAGGAGGGGUGACUGUUCCUUCUAUUCCUUAACCAGCUGCGUCCACUUCCCCCGGCUCGUCCGGGUCCAGACCUUCUCACCAUCUCCCAGACAGGCAGGGAGCAGAAAAGAAUCCGGAGCAAGCAGCCGCUGCCCUAGAUCUCGGCUGUCAUCCGUGUUUCCAGGGGCUACGAAAUGGAGCGAGCACAGGCGAGAUUUGAGUUCAAAUUCCAGCUUCUUCAUUCACCAGCUGAGUGACCUUAGGAAAGUCCCCUCUGGGAUUUCCCGCGCAGCCACAGACAGCUGCAGGAUAAUCUGGGGAGAUUUUUGAAGUCGAGCAGAAGGAACACGUGAACAUCGACUGAAAUUCUCGUUGUUUUUAACGGCACUGAGUCUACUGGCGUGUUGAUCAAAGCGAGUUGUACAAAUUCAGGGGAGAGAGACCCAUUUUGUUCGAAUGACAGCAAAUCACAUUUGAACUCGAGCAAAUUUAAUUUUCUGUUCCAGCUCAAUAUUUCCAGCAAAGAUUUUGAGAAACAAAAUUGGAUUUUCAGUGAUGGGGAUACAUUUUAACACAUGCCACAGCUGGGUGGAUUCAACCUGUUGCAUCGAAGUUGCUAUUUCCUGGCCACGCUGAAGAGCAAAAUCUGGAACUCACAGUGUAUAUGAACCCCAGAAGAGAAAUAGACCCGUUAGCACUGGGCCAGGCGGAGAGGGCUUAGCCAAGGCCUUGAAGCACUUUAUUCCCAGGGACUGAGGACCACUGAGUUGGGAGAAAUGAUGACCCAGCUCUCAGAAAUAUAGACUUUUGAGCUAGAAGAGAUUUGAGACAUCACCUAGAGUGUCUAGGGAUCCCUAAAACGUGGGCCAGGAGAUGGUUUUAAUAGCACGAGAAGAACUCAGCGAUAAAUAACUGACUCCCCCUAUGAAGAAAGGUAUUCCCUUUUCAAUUACCCUUUUCUCUACAUCAGAGAGAGUCUCCAGCCCCAGUUCUUUAAUGCUCAGUGGUGAACCAACAGACCUUGGAUGCACUGGUGACAGUAUCAGGCUAGAAUUUUAAAACCUUGUAUCCUUUUGUUUAUAGACCAGGACGCCUGCAAAUGUUUUCCGUAAAGCGCCAGAGAGCAAAUAUUCUAGACUUUGCUGUCUCUGUUGCAACUAAAGUCUGCUGUUAUAGGGCAAAGGCAGCCAUAAACAAUGAGUAAAUAAGUGAGUGUGGUGUAUCCCAAUAAAUCUUCAUUAUGGAGAC